rnacentral:rRNA from 1 species
GCAAGUCGAACGGAAACGAUGGAAAGCUUGCUUUCCAGGCGACGAGUGGCGGACGGGUGAGUAAUACAUAGGAAUCUGCCCAGUAGCGGGGGACAACGUGUGGAAACGCACGCUAAUACCGCAUACGCCCUACGGGGGAAAGCGGGGGACCUUCGGGCCUCGCACUAUUGGAUGAGCCUAUGUCUGAUUAGCUUGUUGGUGGGGUAAUGGCCCACCAAGGCAACGAUCAGUAGCUGGUUUGAGAGAAUGAUC